rnacentral:rRNA from 1 species
UACGUAGGGUGCGAGCGUUGUCCGGAAUUAUUGGGCGUAAAGAGCUUGUAGGCGGUUUGUCGCGUCUGCUGUGAAAAUCCGGGGCUCAACCCCGGACUUGCAGUGGGUACGGGCAGGCUAGAGUGCGGUAGGGGAGAUUGGAAUUCCUGGUGUAGCGGUGGAAUGCGCAGAUAUCAGGAGGAACACCGAUGGCGAAGGCAGAUCUCUGGGCCGUAACUGACGCUGAGGAGCGAAAGCAUGGGGAGCGAACAGG